rnacentral:rRNA from 1 species
CCUACGGGAUGCAGCAGUGGGGAAUAUUGCACAAUGGGGGAAACCCUGAUGCAGCGACGCCGCGUGAGUGAAGAAGUAUUUCGGUACGUAAAGCUCUAUCAGCAGGGAAGAAAAUGACGGUACCUGACUAAGAAGCCCCGGCUAACUACGUGCCAGCAGCCGCGGUAAUACGUAGGGGGCAAGCGUUAUCCGGAUUUACUGGGUGUAAAGGGAGCGUAGACGGCAGCGCAAGUCUGGAGUGAAAUCCCAUGGCUUAACCAUGGAACUGCUUUGGAAACUGUGCAGCUAGAGUGCAGGAGAGGUAAGCGGAAUUCCUAGUGUAGCGGUGAAAUGCGUAGAUAUUAGGAGGAACACCAGUGGCGAAGGCGGCUUACUGGACUGUAACUGACGUUGAGGCUCGAAAGCGUGGGGAGCAAACAGGAUUAGAUACCCCAGUAGUC